rnacentral:rRNA from 1 species
GACGAACGCUGGCGGCGUGCUUAACACAUGCAAGUCGAACGGAAAGGCCUGCUUUCCCUUGUGGAUUGCGGGUACUCGAGUGGCGAACGGGUGAGUAACACGUGAGUGAUCUGCCCCCAACUUGGGUAUAAGCCUGGGAAACUGGGUCUAAUUCCCGAUAGGACUGCAGGGUGGUGCCUGUGGUGGCAAACGAUUUUCUAGUUGUUGGGGAUGAGCUCGCGGCCUAUCAGCUUGUUGGUGGGGUAAUGUCCUACAAAGGCGGCGACGGGUAGCCGGCCGGGGAGGGGGGACGGCCACAUUGGGACUGGGAUACGGCCCCGACUCCUACGGGAGGCAGCAGUGGGGACUAUUGCACCAUGGGCGGAAGGCUGCUGCAGCGACGCAGCGUGGGGGAUGACGGCAUUCGGGUUGUAAACUCCUUUCGACCGCGAGGAAGCCACCUGGUUGGAAGGGUGGUGACGGUAGUGGUAGAAGAAGCACCGGCUAACUACGUG